rnacentral:rRNA from 1 species
GACGAACGCUGGCGGCGUGCCUAAUACAUGCAAGUCGAACGCUUCUUUCCUCCCGAGUGCUUGCACUCAAUUGGAAAGAGGAGUGGCGGACGGGUGAGUAACACGUGGGUAACCUACCCAUCAGAGGGGGAUAACACUUGGAAACAGGUGCUAAUACCGCAUAACAGUUUAUGCCGCAUGGCAUAAGAGUGAAAGGCGCUUUCGGGUGUCGCUGAUGGAUGGACCCGCGGUGCAUUAGCUAGUUGGUGAGGUAACGGCUCACCAAGGCCACGAUGCAUAGCCGACCUGAGAGGGUGAUCGGCCACACUGGGACUGAGACACGGCCCAGACACCUACGGGUGGCUGCAGUCGAGAAUCUUCGGCAAUGGACGAAAGUCUGACCGAGCGACGCCGCGUGAGCGAUGAAGGCCUUCGGGUUGUAAAGCUCUGUAAGUUGGGAGGAAGUGCAUGGGGGCAAUCCCCUGUGCUUGACCUAUCUUCAAAGUAAGGACGGGCUAAGUUCGUGCCAGCAGCCGCGGUAACAC